UACGUAGGUGACAAGCGUUGUCCGGAUUUACUGGGCGUAAAGAGCGCGCAGGCGGUCGAUCAAGUCGAGUGUGAAAGCCCCCGGCUCAACUGGGGAGGGUCAUUCGAUACUGAUCGACUCGAAGGCAGGAGAGGGUAGUGGAAUUCCCGGUGUAGUGGUGGAAAUGACGUAGAUAUCGGGAGGAACACCAGUGGCGAAGGCGACUACCUGGCCUGUUCUUGACGCUGAGGCGCGAAAGCUAGGGGAGCAAACGGG
rnacentral:rRNA from 1 species